UACAGAGGUCUCAAGCGUUGUUCGGAUUCAUUGGGCGUAAAGGGUGCGUAGGCGGCGCGGUAAGUCGGGUGUGAAAUCUCGGGGCUUAACUCCGAAACUGCAUUCGAUACUGCCGUGCUUGAGGACUGGAGAGGAGACUGGAAUUUACGGUGUAGCGGUGAAAUGCGUAGAUAUCGUAAGGAAGACCAGUGGCGAAGGCGGGUCUCUGGACAGUUCCUGACGCUGAGGCACGAAGGUCAGGGGGGCAAACGGG
rnacentral:rRNA from 1 species